CCGUAUGUAUUCGGUCGGGUCCGCGUCGUUCGAGUCUUUCGAACCGAAUCGCCACCCGAACCGUUCCGCGCCCCGUCCGGCGCAGCGGGUGAAUCCGGGACGACGGCUAAAUAACAUUUGCGGCUCGGGGUCCGUCCAAACGAUUAUGUCGUUUUUCGUCCGCCGCGACCGGUGUCGUCUCACAUCUGACGACGAGACGUUGCAAUAAUACAUCUCUUUUAGAUUCCGAACGAAUCGAGGAAUAAUUGGCCUUUACUUGCUUACUUUUUUUUUUUUUUAUCGAUACUAUGAACAAUUUUUCCGCCAGAAAUAUCUCACUCCGAUCGAAACAAUUGUGUAGGAACGUUCUUUUUGGAAUUGUUCCGAUCUAGGGAAAGUCGUUUGUCGUGUUUUGCAUUGUUUUUUUGUUUCUUAGCAGACGGGAUCAAAUCCAGCGAUUUGUUGUACAAUCCGUCGAUUUCUGGGUUACCUUGGCCAACAACGACCAACAAUACACUGUUCAGAAACUUUUUCGUUACCGGCGGUGUACCAUAAAUGAAAUCGAUCCGUGUGUUCUAUGCGAUCCAUCACCGGCAACGGCCUUUUUUCUUCGGAUUUCGUGUUAAUCGACGACGUGGUGUUGCUGCAUGAUAACAAUGUCAUUCCCACGUGGCCACGUGUGUG